ensembl:miRNA gga-mir-1731 gga-mir-1731
CUUGGCCUCUGCUGGAAGCCGGGUACUUGACUGCAGGCACUGCUGCUCUGUUCCAGAUUGGCAGUUCCUUGGUCUUGUCCUUGUCUCCAGUUCCUUCCUAAG